GAGAGAGGAUGGAGAAGAGAAGAGGGAAGAGUGAGAAUGAUAUGCAGAAGAAGCUGCAAUCUAUGAUCCUGUGCCUCAAGGCUUCCAACCUCCUCCUAUCGUUGAGCUCCAAACCCCCUGUAAAUCCCCACAACAAUGAGGAAAUGGAGGGUAUUUUGAAAAGAGUGGAUCAUCUAGAGAGAGAAGUUGUUAGAGAGCGGUGCAUAAACCUGAGUCUUAAGCUUUGCAAGAUAUGGGAAGUGGUUGUUCUUGCUCUGGGACUGCUAGCUCUGCUCAUUUUGGCUUGGAUUUUCUCAGUUUGAAGCUUCACUCAUGGCUGGAUGUAUGAGAAUUUCCAGGUACGUUUUAGAGAGAGUAUUCAUUCUUGGGAGGUAAUGUGAAAAGAAAUUAGGAAAGGGUUUGCAGUGGAAGAUACCGUAUAUCCAUUGUGGUAGUAUUAAUACAUCUAGGACUCGCUCUUCAAUUUUGAUAUGCUCUAUGCCCCUCUGUAGCAGGGAAGAUUUACUUGAAAUUAAACUUGCCUUCCUGA